AAUGAUAAUUAUUCUCACUGAUAGGAGAAUAUCUCACCAGUCCAUAUCUCCUUCCUCGUGUCUCAGCUGCAGAGUUGUAGAAUCUAUCUUAAACCCACAAAAGUGGUCAAAUUUAAUAGUAUGGGACCCUUUUAGUGCUGUUUUCAUGUCUGAACUCGGUGUGAUUGGGUGGAAUUACUUUUUCCUUUACGAUGGUUCAAAGGUUAAGGAAGAGGGAGAUCCUACAAGUGCCGGGAUUUGUUAUUUUUAUCCUUCUCAGACUCUCCCCGACCAGCAGGAACUGCUGUGCGGACAGAUUGCUGGAGUGGUGCACUGCUUGACUGAGAUUUCUGGAAUUCCUCCAAGUCUCAUUCGCCUAAGGAAGCUCAAGUUUGCGGUUGUAGUGGAUGGAGACUAUCUGUGGGUUCUGGGUUGUGCCGUUGAGCUCCCUGAUGUCAGCUGUAGACGGUUUCUGGAGCAGCUGAUCAGCCUCUUCACCUUCUACAAUGGACCUGUGCACCAUGCGUACACGGCACUUUCUUGGGAGGAGCUGAGCAGGCAGUGGGACAGAUACAUUGAACAUAUCCAAAAAAACACCAGUGACCUCCACAAGAUCUUCAAUUCUCUCUGGAAUCUGGACAAAACCAAGGUGGACCCCCUGCUUUUACUGAAAGCAGCUCUCAUCCUGCAGACUUGCCAGCGGUCUCCCCAUGUCUUGGCAGGCUGCAUUCUCUACAAAGGCUUGAUUGUGAGCACCCAGCUGCCACCUCCUCUCACUGCCAAAGUUCUUCUCCAAGGCAAUGAGUCUCCAGGCCAGAGUGAGCCUGGAGGUGAGGAGCAGCGGGAGCCAGAUUCUCCAUUGCCGCAUGGUGUCCGUAUCAUCCCUGUAUUCCUAACGGAAGAUGAAGUCUCAAUGCUCCGAGACUUUCCAGUGGAGUGGAUGACUAGGUCAUCUGUGUCCCCAGCAAGCCCUAGAGGAGAGAAGAAUGCUCUCUGCCCCCAGGCAGUUUCAGAAUCAACAGGAGACCUGAAAAAUAUCUCUGUGCAGGAGUCCCCUGAGCAAGCUUCAAGCACAGCUGCACCAGAAGAUGCUGUGCAAUCAGGCAGCCUUGCAAACACAGGUCCUUUGAAGGGCUUCCCCGAAAUGGAAGCCAGUACAAAGAAUUCUCCAACUGCAAAACUGAGCGGCCCAGACAGCAAAAGCUCAGAGCUCAGUAGAAAAGCAUCUUUCCCAUCAGAGAGAGACACGAAGCAGCUGCCAAGCCCUUCCACACUCCAUACUUCUGAGUAUGCUCAAACUACAGGUCCGUAUCUGGAAGGUUUUUGCUUUCCAAACCCUUACACCCGGGAGCAGGAGAAUCAGAGCAUGGGGAAAUCUCUUGUGGACUAUGAUGUUGAGCAACACAGUUUCCAAAGUUAUGCAGCCAGUGGCAGUCCAGCUAUUUGCUCUCCUGCCCAAGAGUUGAGCAGAAGGAAGGCAAGUGAACAAGACAAGCAAGGGACUCUGAGCCAAAAUAGUGUCUCUAGAGAAAGCAGCAGUGCAGCUGGUGGCAAUGUGCAGGGUUUGGAUUGUCCAGCCACUGCUGUACAAUCAGAGCUCCAAAGCAGGAGUCAGCUGCCAGCUGUAGAGUUUCAGGAGAGUCUGCUCAGUGACCCAGCAGAGAACACGCACUGUCCCAGGAGCCGGGAGAGUGGCUGGCUGCCUCAGGUGGACAGUCUGGGAGCCCAGGCUGGUGUGGAGUCAGGCAAACAGUGCAAACCGGUUAAGAUGAGCUUGUAUGUUCACUGCAUUAAGGGGCUUUUGCUCUCCCUGCUGGCUGAAGAUCACCUCCGAGAGGACCGGAGCUCGAUUGAAGAUGUGGUAAGUGGGAAAGCUCUUCCACACCUGCAGAUACACUCACUGCUGCUUGGUGGUGGUGGUGGUGGGGACAGGGGUUACAACUGAAGAGCAAGUGUUGGAUCGCUGUUCCCAUCUCUUUCCUCACCUGCUCUGUGUUGCACAAGGCAAAGCCAUUUGGCUUGGGGUUCAUCACCACAACCAAAACUACGUGGGAGGUUGUUUGCAAACGUCAGGCAGCGAGCCUGAGAGGUGAGAGCGUUGUCUCACAGGCGACUCCUGUUGCCUGUUGUUGUCUGUCAGUGCCAGCACCGGAGCAGAACGUGUAGGUGUGACUGUCAGACAGCCCCGCAGACUGCCAAAGGCCUGUGCUGGAUUUGGGAUUUGCUGGGAAACCCUGUCAGUUUCACAGUGCUUUUUGGAAAGCAGGGUUUGUUCUCUGUUUAACCUCCACUUUGCAUGUCAGCUUCUCACUCUGGAAGCACCAGAGAGACAUGUCUGGCAGUGAGUCCCCGAAGCAUUUCCUUUCUACGUGAAAGUCUGGCUGUCUGCAUCCCCAGCCUGCUCUCCCUGGCACUGCUCUCCAGGGGCCGGAGCGAAGGGUGCCAUUUGGGCACUGCGAAUAGGCGCUGUACCAGAACAAUCCCAAAUUACUCUGCUGUGGGAUUUGCUUCGGUGCGCAGGCUUCCCUGCCAAGUGGCACGGUGCAGCUAAUGGGGCUGUGGGGGAAGGACGUGCUGGCCCCCAGCGUUUCACAGUGAAGCAUUAGUCUGCAGAGCUGCUGCCUGGCCUCUGCUUUCCUACCAGGGAGCUGAGUCAAAGCUGCAGAGGCCUGUUUGAUAUGCCAGUUGCCAUAGGAACAACCUAAUUUCUUUAACCGUCAGACUGGAAGGUGGAGGGAAGCUCAGACUAAUGCUGGCUCCCAGCAUUAGCAGAGCCUCAAGGUUACUCCAUUUACUUUCGAGCUCUGGGACUCAGAGGCUGUGGCCGUGACGGCCCCCCCUCCCGUAAGCAGGGGGGUGCCACCUCUGCACGGCAUGUGAGGAUUGGCAUGUCAGGGAAAGGAUUGCUGCAAAAUCAGCAGAGGCCAGGAGGUGCAGCCUUGGCAUUUUGCGCCAGACAUGGCACAUGGCUCUGUCCCCUUUCUGCUCAUUCCAAACAGGCAGCUGCACAACGGCUUCCUCUCUACCAUGUCUUCUCUGGUUGCAGGGAGAGAGGGGGAUGCAGGCAGGUAGGAACUGAUGCUCUUGAGAGCUGAAGGUCGUCCUCAUUGCACAGGUACCCUCAGCUUCUCUGGGUUUCCUCAGGUUGCAGCUCUGGUCUAGCUGGCAGGCAGCGCAGCCCUGCUGUGUUCGGAGGCGGCGCGGUUCCCAGCAGCCCAUGCAGCACCCGUGGUUGGAAACCAGCCUCUGCUCUCCUUCAUGUUUGACCUGCCGUGAGAAGGAGCAUCUGAAGGAUGUGGCUAGCGUGUGAAAUGCCUUGUUGGGGGGGGAGGUUAGCUCUGCUAGUGACACAUUGCACGUCCUCCUCCCAUCAAAUGCCUGGGCAAGUCCAGCAGUGGGCCCAGCCUGGCUCAAUUUGUCAUUCAGUUCAUUAAGUCUCAAAUCAACUGCCUGACGCUGGUGCGCCACAUUUCGGUUGAUUUUACUUUAUGUAUUGCCCUGGGGUUGGCAAAGCCCUGUUCCAUUCGCGUUCCUCUUUUUCCCAAAUAUGCUGCUUCCAUCUCGCAUACUCCUGCUUUGGAUCUCAUCUUAGCAAAACUGUACUUUGACACAGCUUGGAUUUUGACUGUGAUUAGGUUCUACCGACUACACCCUUCCUCUGGGUGCAGGGGUUUGUUAUCUCUUAGGAGAGAUGCACUGCAUGUCCUGUCAUCCCAGGAGGAAGAGUGUUGUUCGAGGAGUACCACAGCAGUCUGGCUUCUCUAAACGGCCUCGAGG